CCUCAGAUGGCUGAAAGCAAGUGGUGGUCUCUUAAACCACAAAAUAGUAAAUUAGCGCUUACUUCUGGUGG
rnacentral:tRNA from 1 species